UGGGGAAUUUUGGACAAUGGGGGGAACCCUGAUCCAGCAACGCCGCGUGAAUGAAGAAGGCCUUAGGGUUGUAAAGUUCUUUUACAUGGGAGCAAGUUUAGUAUGUUAAGAGCUAAUUAAAUUGAGAGUACCAUGAGAAUAAGCACCGGCUAACUACGUGCCAGCAGCCGCGGUAAUACGUAGGGUGCGAGCGUUAAUCGGAAUUACUGGGCGUAAAGGGUGAGUAGGCGGAUGUACAAGUUAGAUGUGAAAUACCUGGGCUUAACCUGGGAGGUGCAUUUAAGACUGUAUAUCUAGAGUCUGUUAGAGGGGGGUAGAAUUCCAAGUGUAGCAGUGAAAUGCGUAGAGAUUUGGAGGAAUACCGAAGGCGAAGGCAGCCCCCUGGGAUAAGACUGACGCU
rnacentral:rRNA from 1 species